CCGCGGUUAGUCGCGCACAUGGCACGUCGGGUCCACUUCCCGCGUGCACUUAUUUUCUCCGUCCGCACUUAUUUGUAGUUUUCCUUUUGUUUAAACGUUUUUCACGAGUUUUUCUUUGAUCUUCCCAUUUUCCAGCUAGGUCCGUUCAGCCUUGGGCCUUGAAGGAUGAAAAGAGCAACUACGGAAUUACCACUCCACGUGCAUCGACCUGAAGAUGGAAGUAUCAAUUUUUUAUCGAGUUUUCUUUCCUCGCUUUUAUUUUGUGACUGGUCAAUAAAACCUUGAGCCUGGAGCUAGGAAACAACGUAUGGAGAUAGCAGCCAUUUCUGCUUCGAGCGCGCCAUUGACUUAAGACAAGAAACAGAAAUCCUCUCGCCAGAAAAAAACCGAGAUCCUGCUGCCAAGUCCACCGCCGCACGCCUGUUCGAUGAAUGCCAGUAGUUGACUUGGUGGUAGCGGGAAUAAAGAAGAAAUGAGUGCGUCGUGCUUUGCUGAAAUAUGAAGUGACUUCGACUGCCACAUGACUGCGUGGGAUGCCGCAGAUAAG